GACGUAGGGAGCAAGCGUUGUCCGGAUUUACUGGGCGUAAAGAGCACGUAGGCGGCUUGUUAAGUGAGAGGUGAAAUCCCCAGCGCUCAACGCGGGAACUGCCUCUCAUACUGGCAGGCUUGAGGGAUGUAGAGGUGACUAGAAUUCCAGGUGUAGCGGUGACAUGCAUUGAUAUCUGGAGGAAUACCCGAGGCGAAGGCGGGUCACUGGACAUUUCCUGACGCUGAGGUGCGAAAGCGUGGGUAGCAAACAGA
rnacentral:rRNA from 1 species